GACAGAGGCCACGAACGUUGUUCGGAAUCACUGGGCAUAAAGCGCACGUAGGCGGCUAGGUCCGUCCGAGUGUGAAAGCCCCCCGGCUCAACCCGGGGAAUUGCAUCGGAUACAGCCUGGCUUGAGGACGGUUGGGGUGAGUGGAACUCCUGGUGGAGCGGUGAAAUGCGUAGAUAUCAGGAGGAACACCGGUGGCGAAAGCGGCUCACUGGACCGUUACUGACGCUGAGGUGACGAAAGCUAGGGGAGCAAACGGG
rnacentral:rRNA from 1 species